rnacentral:lncRNA from 1 species
AUGCACCAGGAAGUCCGAGUGCUCACGGGCCGAGGAAGCUGGACACUGGCUAUGGAGCCGGGAGAAGUCCUGCGUGACCAUCACUGAUGCUUUUCCACAGAACAUGAGCCGGCGGGCCCAAGGAGAGGUACGACUAUCUGUCAGCCCCCUACCCACUCUGGCUAAGGAGGAUGAGUUGCUUUGCCUCUUCGGUGAAUCGCCACCCCACUCUGCCCGGGUAGAGGAUGAUGCUGUCAUCUGUAACUCACCAAGCAGCAUCCCUAGCACCCCACCAGGCCAAGGUGAGACGACCUCCUUCCGCCCCUGGACCUGCACAGCUUCCUUUUUCCUGCACACAGCUUUUCCUAGGCCCUAUCUACUCUCACAUUUUUAGAACAUUGAGCGCCAUGCAUGAGCCAAUCCUGGGUGGCUGCUGCUAUUGUUGGGGAAGCCAAA